GAUGAACGCUGGCGGCGUGCUUAACACAUGCAAGUCGAACGGAAAGGCUCUUGCUUGUUGGGGUUCUCGAGUGGCGAACGGGUGAGUAACACGUGGGCGAUCUGCCCUGCACUUCGGGAUAAGCCUGGGAAACUGGGCCUAAUCCCGGAUCGCACGCUGGCUUGGAUGCAAUUGUGGAAAGUUUUUGUGGUGUUGGAUGGGCGCGCGGCCUAUCAGCAUGUUGGUGGGGUAGUGGUAUACGGAGACGUAGACGGAUAGCCGGCCUGAGAGCGUGUACGGGGACAUUGGGACUACGAGACGGACCAGACUCCAACGUGAGGCAGCAGGGGGGAGUAUUGCACAAUGGUCGCAAGCCUGAUGCAGCGACGCCGCGUGUGUGAUGACGGCCUUCUGGGUGAGAACUGCUUCCGCUUGAGACGAAGCUCAAGUGACGGUACCUGGAGAAGAAGCACCGGCUAACUACGUG
rnacentral:rRNA from 1 species